rnacentral:tRNA from 2 species
UCCUCCUUAGUUCAGUCGGUAGAACGGCGGACUGUUAAUCCGUAUGUCACUGGUUCAAGUCCUGUCGAGGGAGCCA